rnacentral:rRNA from 1 species
GAUGAACGCUGACAGAAUGCUUAACACAUGCAAGUCGACUCGAGUCUUCGGACUUGGGUGGCGCACGGGUGAGUAACGCGUAAAGAACUUGCCCCUUAGACCGGGACAACAUCUGGAAACGGAUGCUAAUACCGGAUGUUAUGGUUUUUUCGCAUGGAGGAAUCAUGAAAGCUAGAUGCGCUAAGAGAGAGCUUUGCGUCCCAUUAGCUAGUUGGUGAGGUAACGGCCCACCAAGGCAAUGAUGGGUAGCCGGCCUGAGAGGGUGAACGGCCACAAGGGGACUGAGACACGGCCCUUACUCCUACGGGAGGCAGCAGUGGGGAAUAUUGGACAAUGGACCACAAGUCUGAUCCAGCAAUUCUGUGUGCACGAUGACGUUUUUCGGAAUGUAAAGUGCUUUCAGUCGGGAAGAAGUCAGUGACGGUACCGACAGAAGAAGCGACGGCUAAAUACGUGCCAGCAGCCGCGGUAAUACGUAUGUCGCAAGCGUUAUCCGGAUUUAUUGGGCGUAAAGCGCGUCUAGGCGGCAAGGAAAGUCUGAUGUGAAAAUGCGGAGCUCAACUCCGUAUGGCGUUGGAAACUGCCUUACUAGAGUACUGGAGAGGUAGGCGGAACUACAAGUGUAGAGGUGAAAUUCGUAGAUAUUUGUAGGAAUGCCGAUGGGGAAGCCAGCCUACUGGACAGAUACUGACGCUAAAGCGCGAAAGCGUGGGUAGCAAACAGG